rnacentral:lncRNA from 1 species
CUCCUUUGACAAAACUCUCCAGAAAAGGUGAAUUCUCUAAAGAAGUAUCCAUCAUAGAGUUGAGAGCAAGAUUGUAAAACUUGCGACCUGAAUAUAAGUGGCAAACAAACAAAAUUAAGCAUUUGGUUAGCAUCAUUAUAGGAAAUCAAAGUAUACAAAGGAAAAAAGAGAUUGAAUACCUGUAACACCUUUUGUUGCAUAUUUCUGUAGGAAAAAGAUAAUGAGCAGCAGGGUCACUAAAAUUAAACAUAUAAUGACUAUAUUUUCAUUAAACAAAAAUUCAAUCAAGUUUCUUAAGGGCAAUAAAGCACGGAGAUUUUGUUCAUGUACGGAUAAAC